GACGAACGCUGGUGGCGUGCUUAACACAUGCCAGUCGAACGGGAUUUAGUAAACAGAAGCCUCGGUGGAAGAUUACUAAUGAGAGUGGCGAACGGGUGAGUAACGCGUGAGCAACCUGCCUAUGACAGUGGGAUAGCCUCGGGAAACCGGGAUUAAUACCGCAUAAAAUCGUAGAAACACAUGUUUUAACGGUCAAAGAUUUAUCGGUCAUAGAUGGGCUCGCGUCUGAUUAGCUAGUUGGUGAGAUAACAGCCCACCUAGGCGACGAUCAGUAGCCGGUCUGAGAGGAUGAACGGCCACAUUGGAACUGAGACACGGUCCAAACUCCUACGGGAGGCAGCAGUGGGGAAUAUUGCACAAUGGGGGAAACCCUGAUGCAGCGACGCCGCGUGAACGAAGAAGGUAUUCGUAUCGUAAAGUUCUGUCCUAUGGGAAGAUAAUGACAGUACCAUAGAAGAAAGCGCCGGCUAAAUACGUG
rnacentral:rRNA from 1 species